rnacentral:lncRNA from 1 species
CACUGUUUAAAAAAGCGCGCCUAGGCGCAGCGCCUAGGCGCCUAGGCUCUAGGCGCACAAGCCAGCGCCUAGAGCAGCUCUAGGCGGGCGCCAUGACUCAGGCUAGCGCCUAGGCAGCCUAGGCGCGCGCCUGGGCCUAGGCGUAAGGCGCCCUCAAGGCGCGCCUAGGUAAUAUUUAUAGUAACGGGUUUGGAUCCAGAUUUUAUUGGUCUAACGGGUUGAAAUAUCUAAAAUAAACCCAAUACCCUAAACUAAACCCUAAAUAAUCAUCAAUUAUUUCCCUAUUCCCCUCUCCCUGUCCGCUCUUCCCUCUCCCUCUCCGCUCAGCCCCUCUCCCUCUCCGCUCGCCCGCUCGGCCAUCUCUCUCUCUCCGGCGCUCCCUCUCCGGUUGUCCUUGCUUCCGGCACCUCCUCCUUGCUUCUUCAACUCGCUCGCCUCUUCUUCUAUGGUUUUUUGUCUCUCCCUUGGCCUCUCUCUAGUUUCUCUUUUAGUUUUUUGUGUAUAUUUCUAUUUUUUUUUUUAAAGCAGUGCUUUCUAUGCUUUUUUUUUAAGUAGAAAUUUUCUGUUUUAUUUUUUAAAAAAACAGCAUUUUACUUGAAAAUAAAACAGCAUUUUAACAUUUUAAAAAACAGCAUUUUACUUGAAAAAACAGCAUUUUACUUGAUAACCUUUAUGCAUAUUACUUUUUUAUGAUCUUGUGCUUAUGAUUAUAUGCUUUUCACAUCUAACUUUUCUAUAUGUUUGUGAAUUAAUACUUACAUUUAUGCUGUCCUUUAUUUUGAGAUAAAAAGAUAAUUUGUUCUUUACUUUUAUCUAUAUUAUUUAGAUAACUAUAGAAUAUUUAUUGUGGUAAUAUGAUUUUAUAGAGUAUAUUUAAUGCUGCUUAACAAUUAGUAGAAAGAAUGGUAAGAAACUUCUUGAUUAUUUACUUAUUUCAAAAUUUUAUGAAAGUGUGCGCCUGACCUCUCUCGGGCGCGCGCCUGCGCCUUUCGCCUUGCGCCUAGGCUCCAACAGGCCUUUGCGCCUAGAUGCGCCUUGGGCUUUUUUAAACACUGUACUAAUCUAAUUUAAAUAUAGAUCGAAAGUUAUUUCCCUUCAUUGCAUAUCUGCAAGGUUUUGAUGAUCUAGCAUAAAAAGGGAUAGCUAGUGUUAGAAAGGAGAUAAAUGAGGUAAAGGAGGAAAAAGAGGAUAGGGAAAAUGCUCCAAUGUGGCGUAGAAAUUCAUUCGUGGAUAGAAUCUACUAUAAUUUAAUGAAAAUCGGCUGAAUAUGUAUAGUCCCAUAUUCAAUGUGUCUUCACACUGCUUCUCCAUUGUUGCAACUCUUCUAAUUGUGGAAAAUUCUUUGGAAUCCCUUCGUAUCUCGUAUAAUGAAUUCUAUCACUAUUAAUAUCAUAUAAAACUCCUAUCUACAAAAAUAGCUUCAUGCGUAUCUGAUAUGUCUAAACUCAUUUGCUAGCUGUUUGCAUAGUCCCACUUGAAUCUUAACUUUCGAAAGGAAACAACCAACACGUCAUUACUCAGUGGCUUCCAGCCACCAUCUAGUUGGCAAGAACUCAAUCUAAACUUCAUUUUGUAACAACAAUGUAUGAUAGAAGCAAGGUUUGCUGUGCCAACUAUCUGGCACGGCCAACACGUGCCACCAAUGCCAACCGUUUUGACAUAUAAAAUGUGAUGUGUACGGAGGUGUGCCGACGUGCCGUGUCAUGUUGCUGGCACACCGUCAUGCCCUAUGCUGGUGGCGUGGCAAUCCUUGGGUAGAAGUAUGAGAUAUAUUUGAUAAUAGAAAUUAUGCGUUGAAUCAAUUGGAUGCAAAUUAUGAAAGCGUAAACUACUUUUCAACAAAUUUAAUGUGUAUCGAUUUGAUUUUAGUACGUAUUCUUGGCCAUCAUUCUCUAUGUUUAACUUCCAUGUUUGAUUAAUAGAAUUUCUCAGUUGAACAAGGUCUUUAUUAGUGCCAUGUACACAUGAUAAUUGUUUUGAUCUUCAAAGCAUAACGGGCUUUGAAUCAAUUCCUUAUACAGUUGAAUUUUCAUCCUCUGCAUUAUCAAUAGAAACCCUAGACUCACGUAUGCUAGACCCACUGUUUAAAAAAGCGCGCCUAGGCGCAGCGCCUAGGCGCCUAGGCUCUAGGCGCACAGGUCAACGCUUAGAGCAGCUCUAGGCGGGCGCCAUGACUCAGGCGCGCCCCUAGGCAGCCUAGGCGCGCGCCUGGGACUAGGCGCAAGGCGCCCUCAAGGCGCGCCUAGGCAAUAUUUAUAGUAACGAGUUUGGAUCCAGAUUUUAUUUGUCUAACGGGUUGAAAUAUCUAAAACAAACCCAAUACCCUAAACUAACCCUAAAUAAUCAUCAAUUAUCUCUCUAUUCCCCUCUCCUUGUCCGCUCGCCCCUCUUCCUGUUCGCUCGCCCCCUCUCCCUGUCCGCUCGCCCGCUCGGCCAUCUCUCCCUCUCCUGCGCUCCCUUUCCGGUUGUCCUUGCUUCCGGCACUUCCUCCUUGCUUCUUCAACUUGCUCGCCUCUUCUUCCAAGGUUUUUUGUCUCUCCCUUGGCCUAUCUGUAGUUUCUCU